UGACUUGAUCCCAAGUGAUUGCUAUAGAUCGCUUCGUGGACUUCUCGAAGGGCAUAGUCAGCUUCAGAGGAUCGUAAACAUUAAAGUAGAGAUUGAGAAUAUGAUCUUUUAUAUAAUUAAUCACCCUGAAGAACAUACCAUGGAGCUUGUCUUUUGAUUCUUCUUGCUUCAACAGGGUCAUUUGGCAAAAUUUCUUUAGUCAUAUACUCAACUAGUCGAUCAAUCCAGCUCGGUUGGAGGCUGAUCUGC
rnacentral:lncRNA from 1 species